rnacentral:rRNA from 1 species
GGGCGUGUUCGCCUCCUCGUACACCAAAUUAAGCUACUAUGCGCUCCUUGGAAUGGUCCCGAACUUUCAAUCCCUUACCUAGACUUUCCUAAGUCAGUCGUUACUGGGCUUUGAUCCACGACGUACCGACAGCAGUCGAGCACGGCACUCCACAACCCAAUUCAGGGCGUUGCUCGCGUUGGGGAUGGUUAUCAACGGUCGCUCAUUACAGCCCCUGAGAUAACCUUGACGGGCACGUUUGCCUCUCCUUCCACCCCUGCUGCAGUUCAGUAGUGCCGGGAAUGCAGGACCCGAUGUGUGCACGAUGUUACCGAUAAUGUCUCCCGUCGAUGUACCGUUGUACUACGUUUAGAAGUUUUUAUCAGAGUCAAGCCUAACCCCAGACGUUGAGCUGGGGUACUUCGACCUAAGCGAUCAUUAGCGCGUAGUCGUUACCGCGCCACUUAUGCAAGGGCCCGGAACAUGUGUGGCGGGCAGUUCGGUACUUUCGACCCUCAUAAAUUUCAGCCAUCGGCGUUCCGCGGCGGAUCUCAUUUUGGCCACUAACCCCGAUUCAGCAUUGUUCCAUCGGCAUUUCCCGCUUAAGACGUCUAUAGGUAGUGUGACCGCCGGCGAGCUCGUACGUAGACUCCGGGU